UACAGAGGUCUCAAGCGUUGUUCGGAUUCAUUGGGCGUAAAGGGUGCGUAGGUGGCGCCAUAAGUCAGGUGUGAAAUUCCCGGGCUCAACCUGGGGGCUGCACUUGAUACGUAUGGACUGGAGUGGGGAAGAGGGUCGUGGAAUUCCCAGUGUAGAGGUGAAAUUCGUAGAUAUUGGGAAGAACACCGGUGGCGAAGGCGGGUCUCUGGGCAGUAACUGACGCUGAGGAGCGAAAGCGUGGGGAGCGAACAGG
rnacentral:rRNA from 1 species